UGUUUGUAUUGAGUCAGAUUGUAUUAAAUAAAUGUAAUAUGAUUGUCAGGUGAGCCGGGACAGCCUUCUUCCUCCGCCCAGCCGCCACAGUAAUUUGUCGUCAAGUCUGCCACAGGAGGAUAUUUUGUUCUGGGUUAACCUGCUUUUCUACUUCGCAGGUUGUUUAUUAAUAUUUGUGUAAUUUUAAUUACUCCUAGAAUUUCCGCAUGUGUUAGCAGUAAUUAUUUGAAUUUGGUCUGUAAUAUUAUAUUCAUGUUGGACCUGUAAACUUAAUAUUUUAAGUCUGUUUUGAUGGAUUGGAUGAGGGAGCUGAGCUCCCAUUUAUUAUUAUGUUGAUGAGUAUGUGGAGGGUGAGCUGAGCUCCCCAAUUGACUA